rnacentral:rRNA from 1 species
CAAUAGCGUAUAUUCAAGUUGUUGCAGUUAAAAAGCUCGUAGUUGGAUUUCGGAUGGGACUUGCCGGUCCGUCGUUUCGAUGUGCACUGGCCAGUCCUAUCUUGUUGUCGGGGACUAGCUCCUGGGCUUCACUGUCCGGGACUAGGAGCUGACGAGGUUACUUUGAGUAAAUUAGAGUGUUCAAAGCAAGCCUACGCUCUGAAUACAUUAGCAUGGAAUAACACGAUAGGACUCUGGCUUAUCUUGUUGGUCUGUGAGACCAGAGUAAUGAUUAAGAGGGACAGUCGGGGGCAUUCGUAUUUCAUUGUCAGAGGUGAAAUUCUUGGAUUUAUGAAAGACGAACUUCUGCGAAAGCAUUUGUCAAGGAUGUUUUCAUUAA